rnacentral:rRNA from 1 species
AUUGAACGCUGGCGGCAGGCCUAACACAUGCAAGUCGAGCGGUAGAGAGAAGCUUGCUUCUCUUGAGAGCGGCGGACGGGUGAGUAAUGCCUAGGAAUCUGCCUGGUAGUGGGGGAUAACGUUCGGAAACGGACGCUAAUACCGCAUACGUCCUACGGGAGAAAGCAGGGGACCUUCGGGCCUUGCGCUAUCAGAUGAGCCUAGGUCGGAUUAGCUAGUUGGUGAGGUAAUGGCUCACCAAGGCGACGAUCCGUAACUGGUCUGAGAGGAUGAUCAGUCACACUGGAACUGAGACACGGUCCAGACUCCUACGGGAGGCAGCAGUGGGGAAUAUUGGACAAUGGGCGAAAGCCUGAUCCAGCCAUGCCGCGUGUGUGAAGAAGGUCUUCGGAUUGUAAAGCACUUUAAGUUGGGAGGAAGGGUUGUAGAUUAAUACUCUGCAAUUUUGACGUUACCGACAGAAUAAGCACCGGCUAACUCUGUGCCAGCAGCCGCGGUAAUACAGAGGGUGCAAGCGUUAAUCGGAAUUACUGGGCGUAAAGCGCGCGUAGGUGGUUUGUUAAGUUGGAUGUGAAAUCCCCGGGCUCAACCUGGGAACUGCAUUCAAAACUGACUGACUAGAGUAUGGUAGAGGGUGGUGGCAUUUCCUGGGCAGCGGUGAAGGCGUAAAUUUAGUAAGGAUACAUUUGUUCAGUGUGGCGACUUUGUGUCAUUCCUGGAGUUGUUCGAGUUCUCGCGGGGAGAUAAACUGAUUAGGAACGUGCAAGAGGGAUGUUCGAUUGGGAGAGGGGGGGGGGGGGGCACGCUCCCCGGGGGGGGGGGGGGGGGGGGAAGUCCAAUCCAUUUAUUUCUCUUUUAGUUUACUCUUCUCUGC